AGAGCGAACGCUGGCGGCAGGCUUAACACAUGCAAGUCGAGCGGGCGUAGCAAGUACGUCAGCGGCAGACGGGUGAGUAACGCGUGGGAACGUACCUUUUGGUUCGGAACAACACAGGGAAACUUGUGCUAAUACCGGAUAAGCCCUUACGGGGAAAGAUUUAUCGCCAAAAGAUCGGCCCGCGUCUGAUUAGCUAGUUGGUGAGGUAACGGCUCACCAAGGCGACGAUCAGUAGCUGGUCUGAGAGGAUGAUCAGCCACAUUGGGACUGAGACACGGCCCAAACUCCUACGGGAGGCAGCAGUGGGAAUAUUGGACAAUGGGCGCAAGCCUGAUCCAGCCAUGCCGCGUGAGUGAUGAAGGCCCUAGGGUUGUAAAGCUCUUUUGUGCGGGAAGAUAAUGACGGUACCGCAAGAAUAAGCCCGGCUAACUUCGUGCCAGCAGCCGC
rnacentral:rRNA from 1 species